rnacentral:rRNA from 1 species
UACGGAGGGUGCAAGCGUUAUCCGGAUUCACUGGGUUUAAAGGGUGCGUAGGUGGGUUGGUAAGUCAGUGGUGAAAUCUCCGAGCUUAACUUGGAACUGCCGUUGAUACUAUCAUCUUGAAUAUCGCGUAGGUAAGCGGAAUAUGUCAUGUAGCGGUGAAAUGCUUAGAUAUGACAUAGAACACCAAUUGCGAAGGCAGCUUACUUCACGAUCAUUGACACUGAGGCACGAAAGCGUGGGGAGCAAACAGG